rnacentral:misc_RNA from 1 species
AAGUCGUAACAAGGUUUCCGUAGGUGAACCUGCGGAAGGAUCAUUAACAAUUCGCGCCCCGGCGUGAUGCGUUCACCCUGACCUUUGAGUACCCUAUUUUCCUCCCCCCGGCCGGGGCAACCCGCCGGACGGGACACCAAAACAAACCUCUUGCAUUAGCAGUCACUGUCAGUACAAAACAGAAUUAUUAAAACUUUCAACAAUGGAUCUCUUGGCUCUG